rnacentral:rRNA from 1 species
AUUGAACGCUGGCGGCAGGCCUAACAAAUGCAAGUCGAACGAGUGGCGGACGGGUGAGUAAUGUCUGGGAAACUGCCUGAUGGAGGGGGAUAAAUACUGGAAACGGUAGCUAAUACCGCAUACAAUCAGAUGUGCCCAGAUGGGAUUAGCUUGUUGGUGGGGUAACGUCUCACCAAGGCGACGAUCCCUAGCUGGUCGUAGAGGAUGACCAGCCACACUGGAACGGAGACACGGUCCAGACUCCUACGGGAGGCCGCAGUGGGGAAUUGUGCACAAUGGGCGCAAGCCUGAUGCAGCCAUGCCGCGUGUAUUAAGAAGGCCUUCGGGUUGUAAAGUACUUUCAGCGGGGAGGCGUUACCCGCAGAAGAAGCACCGGCUAACUCCGUGCCAGCAGCCGCGGUAAUUC